CCUACGGGAGGCUGCAGUGGGGAAUAUUGCACAAUGGGGGAAACCCUGAUGCAGCGACGCAGCGUGAGUGAAGAAGUAUUUCGGUACGUAAAGCUCUAUCAGCAGGGAAGAAAAUGACGGUACCUGACUAAGAAGCCCCGGCUAACUACGUGCCAGCAGCCGCGUUAAUACGUAGGGGGCAAUCGUUAUACGGAUUUACUGGGUGUAAAGGGAGGGUAGACGGCAGCGCAAGUCUGGAGUGAAAUCCCAUGGCUUAACAAUGGAACUGCUUUGGAAACGGUGCAGCUAGAGGGCAGGAGAGGUAAGCGGAAUGCCGGGUUGAGCGGUGAAAUGCGUAGAUAUUAGGAGGAACACCAGUGGCGAAGGCGGCUUACUGGACUGUAACUGACGUUGAGGCUCGAAAGCGUGGGGAGCAAACAGGAUUAGAUACCCGGUAGUC
rnacentral:rRNA from 1 species